rnacentral:lncRNA from 1 species
UCAAGUAGAGUGGGGUGCUCAUUUUCGCCACAUCUUUCCAUGUUUUCUACAGUUUAUGUUCAGGUCUAAAUGUUUUUGAAGUAUACUGAUAUUUCUAUAUGAAGAUAACUUCAAAUGCAAAAUAUACUUAAGCUUGAAAACCGGUUUGUUUUAAGAAAAUCAUCUGAAAAGUUAGAUUAAAAGGUGUUUGAAAUUUCCGGAUGUUUUGUCAAUGGGGGACACAUAUUCGCCGUUUUUACACAUCUAUUUAAAACCAAAUAACCGCAGCUUUUAACAAUUUUUAUCAAAUCAAUUGCAUUAUAGAUGAAUAGCAGACAUUUCAAAGGUAUAAAAAAAUCAAAAUUAGGGCAUUCAGUCAAAUAUUUACUUAGAAAUACUUCUUUGAAAUCGUGUUUUUUAUUCAGGAAAUUGUCCGAAAAUCGUUGUCCGUUUUUCGGUCAUUUUCGGUAGGAGCCGCAAUUUUGUCUCAGUUUAAAAAAAUAUUAUAUUUGUUAUAAAAAUAUAAUUUACGGGUACAUUUCUUCCAUUUCAGCCAUCCUUUACACCUCAAAAUCCUUAAACGGCGAAAUUGUGUCCCCGGCGAAAAUGAGCACCCCACUCUAG